AAAUUGAAGAGUUUGAUCAUGGCUCAGAUUGAACGCUGGCGGCAGGCCUAACACAUGCAAGUCGAACGGUAACAGGAAGAAGCUUGCUUCUUUGCUGACGAGUGGCGGACGGGUGAGUAAUGUCUGGGAAACUGCCUGAUGGAGGGGGAUAACUACUGGAAACGGUAGCUAAUACCGCAUAACGUCGCAAGACCAAAGAGGGGGACCUUCGGGCCUCUUGCCAUCGGAUGUGCCCAGAUGGGAUUAGCUAGUAGGUGGGGUAACGGCUCACCUAGGCGACGAUCCCUAGCUGGUCUGAGAGGAUGACCAGCCACACUGGAACUGAGACACGGUCCAGACUCCUACGGGAGGCAGCAGUGGGGAAUAUUGCACAAUGGGCGCAAGCCUGAUGCAGCCAUGCCGCGUGUAUGAAGAAGGCCUUCGGGUUGUAAAGUACUUUCAGCGGGGAGGAAGGGAGUAAAGUUAAUACCUUUGCUCAUUGACGUUACCCGCAGAAGAAGCACCGGCUAACUCCGUGCCAGCAGCCGCGGUAAUACGGAGGGUGCAAGCGUUAAUCGGAAUUACUGGGCGUAAAGCGCACGCAGGCGGUUUGUUAAGUCAGAUGUGAAAUCCCCGGGCUCAACCUGGGAACUGCAUCUGAUACUGGCAAGCUUGAGUCUCGUAGAGGGGGGUAGAAUUCCAGGUGUAGCGGUGAAAUGCGUAGAGAUCUGGAGGAAUACCGGUGGCGAAGGCGGCCCCCUGGACGAAGACUGACGCUCAGGUGCGAAAGCGUGGGGAGCAAA
rnacentral:rRNA from 1 species